UGGAUUGGAUCUAAGGAGGAUCUAAGGAGGCCAGCAAAAAGACGCAAACUAUACCAGCCUGAGACUAAAGUAGAAAAUCGGAUCAAAUCCGACUGGAGAGUUACAUAAGGAAUGCCGGGACGCAUGCCCAGUAUUAAUGAAGACAGCAGAAAGGAAGGCAUGAGAUUGGCCCUGCUCCAGAGCUGACAGAGAGUGUGGAUCCUGAGUGGUUCCUGGAGACCUGGAGAGGCCCGAACAAGGCAAAACAAGCAGGCCCUGGGGUCACGCACGAGGCUUGGUGGGGCAGACAGAUGCUGAAAAGGCUUGGGAGAGAAUUUCUGCUGGGAAAAACAGCCUCAAUAUCAUCUCUUUUGUAAUCACAUAUCUUUUUCACCACCUGAGAAAGGCAAUUUUGCUCCAGACUAAAAGGGUGUCCCCAGAGGUAGAUAUGCAUAUGGUGGCACAGGACCUGGCCCGCUCUCUCUCACAUACCCUGAGUUGACAGGAAACAUUAGGUGACCAGGGCAAAGCCAGAACUAUGUCUCAUGAAAGGAGCCGAUGCUGUAUCUCUAGGUGUGUGACCAAAUCCCCCAGCGCCUCUCAGAAUUACCCCUCAGAUCAGAAGCCCUGCCAGGUCACAAGCAGGGGAAGCCUUGACUGGUACAGGAGGCCACGCCACCAUCAAAUUAAAAGCCAGUGGAAGGUUUGUCUUCAUCUCAGUUUGAAAAAUGGGUAGAAACUGGUCAUUGGCUCUUGUUUCUCAGAGAGCAUCAUCCAGGGGCUUCUGGUUUCAGAACUUUUUAAAUUCCUCAAUCCUUCCAAACUGACCAGCUCCUUUUAAGUUUUCGCUCGCUCCAGUGAAACUGGAACAAAUCAUCAAUCCUAUCAAACCAACUGACCAUCUCAAGGCUGUGGAUCUCUGCAGGAUUUGGAAAAUAACAACAGAGGCUCCCUGGGUGCACAAAGUAACCCAAGGGUGAUGGUGCGAUUGCUACCACAUUGCAGAUAGCCCCAUCUGCCCCCACGAAUCUUCAUGAAAAUCAAAAUAAAUACAUGGAAAGUA